rnacentral:rRNA from 1 species
CCUACGGGGGGCUGCAGUGGGGAAUAUUGGACAAUGGGCGAAAGCCUGAUCCAGCCAUGCCGCGUGUGUGAAGAAGGCCUUCGGGUUGUAAAACACUUUCAGUGGGGAAGAAAGCCUUGGGGCUAAUACCCUCGAGGAAGGACAUCACCCACAGAAGAAGCACCGGCUAACUCCGUGCCAGCAGCCGCGGUAAUACGGAGGGUGCGAGCGUUAAUCGGAAUUACUGGGCGUAAAGCGCGCGUAGGCGGUCUGAUAAGCCGGUUGUGAAAGCCCCGGGCUCAACCUGGGAACGGCAUCCGGAACUGUCAGGCUAGAGUGCAGGAGAGGAAGGUAGAAUUCCCGGUGUAGCGGUGAAAUGCGUAGAGAUCGGGAGGAAUACCAGUGGCGAAGGCGGCCUUCUGGACUGACACUGACGCUGAGGUGCGAAAGCGUGGGUAGCAAACAGGAUUAGAUACCCCGGUAGUC